rnacentral:tRNA from 1 species
GGGGCUGUAGCUCAGUAGUAGAGCACUUGCCUUACAGGUGUGAGGUCCUGGGUUCUAUCCUCAGCACCACUU